GGCCGGCUAGCUCAGUUGGUUAGAGCGUCGUGCUAAUAAUAUGCAGAAGGCAUGUGUUAUGUUAACGCGAAGGUCUUGGGUUCGAUCCCCACGUUGGCCA